CCCGGCGUGGUGUAAUGGUUCAACAUCGCUGUCUUUCAGGCGUUGAUCACAGCAGCUCGGGGUUCGAUUCCCCGCGCCGGAA